GAGCGGGACCGGCCGUGCAGGGGAGCGGGGUUCGCGCUACGCACCCAGCAGCAGCCCGUCCAUGUCAAAGAUGACAACAGCGCUUCUUGCCCAGAGAGGUUGUGGAGUCUCCUCCGAAACAUUCAAGAACCAUCGGGAUGCAAUUCUGUGCAGUGCGCUCUGGGAUGACCCUGCUUAAGCAGGGAGGUCGGCCCAGACGACCCACGGUGGUCCCUUCCAACCAGACCUAUUUUGUGAUUCCUAAAUCCUAUUUGGUGCUGCUGGCGGGAAGUACAGAACAGCUGCUCUCAAGUUGACCUGUUAGACAGUGUCUCUUCUAUGUGCCUGUGUAGAGAUUUGCAGGCGUGCUAUUACCACCAGGCUAUAGUUGAAACAAAAAGAUGUAAAUCUGUCUAAAAUUGCGAGGGAAGAGUAAAGUAAUGGAGAGAAAAAAAUCUGUGAGGAAGAAGGAAAUCUAUCUCUUUCUUACAGGCUGCUGAGUGCAAGAAUGGUUAAUUGAAAGAUGGUUUGGGUGUUGUAUGUUUUUUUCUGAACAUUCAAGGAAUUCUGAAGUUCAAGAAACAAGACUGGUCUUAAAUUGAAAUAAAAUCUUCCUGCAUGGACACAUAAACCGAUUUUUACUGGGCAGUUGGGAGGGAAAGAGGGCCCCUACUGCCUCAGUUUUCCCUUUUGUAUUUUUUCAUGCAGGUAACUCUCCACUGGGCAUCAAGAUCAUUGAAGCAGCAGUUGCAGAGGCAGACAUGAAAAGAGCAGUAUCGGGCUCCCAAGGUGACAUACUGGCUCGAAGAUGUGUACUGCCAUGCCAUUCUGUGUGAGGGCAGUGGUUAGUUGCAGCCUCACAUGGGGAGUCCUGUCUCAUUUGUAGGUAGGCCUUGCAGCAAUUCCUUUUUCCUAACAGUGCCUUCAUUUGAAUUGGCAAUGCUUCAUCAUUCUAUCAUUUAGUGGGGACUUUUAAAGCCUUAACUAUAGGUGUCACGUAGCUAUAUUUGAAUUUUAAUUUAGGCUUGUUAAGCAUCUUACCUACCCCCAAAACCUAUUCCUUGCAAGUACAUUCACUCCACAUAUAUGUGAAAUGUAGAUACAGAAUUCUCCUGACACCUUCUCCUAUUUGCGAAAUAAGACAAAACAUCCUUAGCCUUUACUUGUAACUUUUGAAUAAUAAAACUUGACUUUCAAACAA